CUAUACGCUACAGCAUACCAUGCAGUCGAACGAUGAACCUCACUUGUGGGGGGAUUAGUGGCGAACGGGUGAGUAACACGUGAGUAACCUGCCCUUGACUCUGGGAUAAGCCUGGGAAACCGGGUCUAAUACUGGAUACGACCUUCUGGCGCAUGCCAUGUUGGUGGAAAGCUUUUGUGGUUUUGGAUGGACUCGCGGCCUAUCAGCUUGUUGGUGGGGUAAUGGCCUACCAAGGCGACGACGGGUAGCCGGCCUGAGAGGGUGACCGGCCACACUGGGACUGAGACACGGCCCAGACUCCUACGGGAGGCAGCAGUGGGGAAUAUUGCACAAUGGGCGCAAGCCUGAUGCAGCGACGCCGCGUGAGGGAUGAAGGCCUUCGGGUUGUAAACCUCUUUCAGAAGGGAAGAAGUCCAUCUUUUUGGGUGGGUGACGUUAUCUGCAGAAAAAGCGCCGGCUAACUACGUGCCAGCAGCCGCGGUAAUACGUAGGGCGUAAGCGUUAUCCGGAAUUAUUGGGCGUAAAGAGCUCGUAGGCGGUUUGUCGCGUCUGCCGUGAAAGUCCGGGGCUUAACUCCGGAUCUGCGGUGGGUACUGCCAGACUAGAAUGCAGUAGGGGAGACUGGAAUUCCUGGUGUAGCGGUGAAAUGCGCAAAUUUCAGGAGAAACACCGAUGA
rnacentral:rRNA from 1 species